rnacentral:ncRNA from 19 species
CAAUUGAUCGGCGAUGACGUUCGCCAGGUCCGCGGCUUGUCUGCGGCCGUAAUAUUACAGUUUGCUGUAGUUGAUGACGUCUGCGAUAUU